CUUUUCCUUAACUAACUGAAAAUCAGCGAAGUGUUAAAUCUACCUAUGACCUGUAAGACUCUGCUUGAAGAUAUCCUGCCUUUUAGGCCAAACCAACAUUUGGUAUUGAUUUGACACUUUGCCUCUAAGUAUUGAUUUGAGAUUUUGCCUGUAAUGUCUGCUUUCUUGAUAAUUUCCCUCGAUUUUACAAACCCUUGCUUGCCAGGCAUGGGGUAGGUUAGGCUUUAAGAAUGAGCUGCCUGGUUCUCCUGGUCCAGUACCCUAAAAAUAAACACCCUUCUUUCUACCACUCCAAACCUCGAUGUGGGUGUUUGGCCUUCGUGUGUUGGGGCCCUGUGAUUACCCUGGACCACCUGGCUCAUGCGGAACCCUCAGGUGACAGGAAGACAUGGGGGAGCUCUCCAGCCAAUGUGGUACAUGCUGAUGCAGGGCAGUCUUCAAUGACCGUCAGACGAAACUCCUGCCACCUCCAGAAUUCAGUGGAUGCCUGCAUGAGUCGGGGUGAAAUGGCAUCCUGGACCUCUCACAUGCCAUUCGUCCCAGGUGGAUUUAGCUUUAAUUCCUGUGCAGAUGGCAUCUCAACGCCAUGGACUUCUCUUCCUGCCUGUCCUGCAUCCGUGGAAAUCAUGUCCUCCUGGACCCGUUUGUCUCAGCACCACUUGUUGCAAGAGUAUCCUUACCCUGUUGAUUUACCCUCGCACUUUUGUGAAAACUCAGUUGUCAUGUGGGUGGACCUGCUUUUGCUCUGUAUUUUGAGUCAUUGUUCUGUCAAUAGCACACUAUCUUGAUAACUGUCGUUUUAUAAUAAAUCCUGGUGGAUAACAAUUUUAGCACGUUGUUUUCAAUUGCCUGUUUUGAGGCAUUUGUUGAGAUAAAAAAUUAUUUUAAGAAAAACCUAUAGCAAUGUCACAUCUCUCAGACAAGAUAUUGGUAAAUUUUGUCUAUGUCAAUUAUAUGGAUCUUCUUAAGGAAAAAGUAUUUUAUUUCUUUGAUUUGGCGGAUGUUUUUGGUGUUUAUUUCAUGUUUGUCUGCUCUGUCCUCUAUUAUUUUCUUUUGUUGAUGCAUAUUUGUUCUUCCUUAACAAGAAAACUAAAGUUAUUGAAUGAGAUUUUUUUUGCUUUCUAAUUGAGGCAUCCAUAACUAUAAAUCUCACUACUCCCCCUCCAUGUAGCGCUUUAGCUGCCUCCAAGAAGUUUGAAUUUGUUCAUUUUUUUCUUUAGUCAACAACCUUUCUAAUUUCUUAAUUUUUAAUGUAUCCUUCGAUACAUGUAUUCUUUAGAAGUGGGUGAUUAGUUUCUAAAUACUUAGAAUUUUCUAGAGAUGUUCCUAUUAGUAACUCCUAAUUGAACCAUGAUAGUAAGAGAAAAUGCUUUGCGUGAAUUGAAUUUCUAUACAUUUUUUUAGAUUUUGUUUUGAUUCAAAAUAUGUUCUAUUUUGGUAAAUGUUUCCUCCACACGUGGACAAAAUGUGUAUUCUUCUGUUGAAUGGGAUGUUCUAGAAAUGUCAUUUAAUGUUGGCCCAUAAUAUUGGUUACAUAUUUUGUAUCCUUAACGAUUUCCUCUCUACCUGUUCCACCAAUCAGCCAUGGAGAGGGAGUAAUAAAGGGUUGGACUACAAUUGUUGGUUUUAUUAUUGUUCCCCAUGGUUCUAUAAGUUUCUGUUUCAUAUAUUUGGAAACUCUGUUAUUAAGUUCAUAAAACUUAAAGAGUGUUAAGUCCUCUUGACAAAUUGAUUCUGUAAUACUUGAUAAUGAUUUUAUUUAGAAUGCUAUUAUUUCCUCUAAUAUAUGUAUUUAUUAUCUGAUGUUAGUAAAGUCACACAGUUUCUUUUGAUUAGUAUUA
rnacentral:lncRNA from 1 species